AAUCGUGAACAUUAUGUAACUUUUUUUUUGCGAUGCUGCUAGUAAGAGUAAGCUACCACCCUACGAGGGGUCGGCUUGUUUACCAUUCCCUAUUUCAAGUAUGCCACGCCCUCCUGGAGACCACAAUCGCCCGAUUAAUCCAAAUCACGGAAUUUCAUACCUCUGCUACUUGGCUACUUCGAGGGCCCGGCCCGGCCUAGAGUCCCACAAGGUGGGCAGUGACUAGGGUAUACGAUAUACCUAUUCAUAAUUUGUCCUAAGAUAGUUACAUUCAUGAUCAUAAUAUUAUAAUUUAUAGGUUAUAGGUACUAUAAUUUGUUUAUAUUAGUUUUCGAUUGGUAUAAAGGACGGACUAAGAUAUACUAAGAUGUACUACUUAUAUCUUAGUCACGGACAUACAUUAUGUUUGCAGACAAAGUCAGUAUUUAUUAUUUGGUUGUUUUCUAACAAAAAGUUGCUUGUUGUUACACUUUUUAGUGUUGGAAAAAUGUUAGUGAUAUACUUUACACCAUUGAAGAAUGCAUUUCAGACAGAAGCACUUACUCUAUAUGAUAUUAUUUUACUUUUAUUUGGAUUAACAUCAAGAUUCUCUGAGCUACAUUUACAAAAAAGGCUAACUAGUAAAAACUAGGAAAAAAUGGCAUUUGUGUAAUGAUAUUGAAAUUAUACUACUCUUGGUUACAUUGUGAAUGGUAUACAAGCUGCCAAAAUGUUGGAGUAAUUUGUUCCAAUAUCAAUGUUUAGUAUGAAAGUAGCCAUUUCAUAUAUAGAUUUUUUUUUUUACUGACUACCUUGCGACUUUAAAUCUUAAUACAGAAUAAAAAAUUAAAAUCGUGAAAAUUAUAAACCUGGCUGCCCAGGUGAAUGUUGCGGCAAUGGUUGUGUAAUUGCAUAUUUUAGGUCAUU